rnacentral:rRNA from 1 species
GACGAACGCUGGCGGCGUGCUUAACACAUGCAAGUCGAACGAUGAAGCUGGAGCUUGCUCCGGUGGAUUAGUGGCGAACGGGUGAGUAACACGUGAGCAAUCUGCCCUUGACUCUGGGAUAACUGCGGGAAACUGUAGCUAAUACCGGAUACGAGGCUCGAAGGCAUCUUCGGGUCUGGAAAGAAUUUCGGUCAAGGAUGAGCUCGCGGCCUAUCAGCUUGUUGGUGAGGUAAUGGCUCUCCAAGGCGACGACGUGUAGACGGCCUGAGAGGGUGACCGGCCAAACUGGGACUGAGGCACGACCCAGACUCCUACGGGAGGCAGCAGUGGGGAAUAUUGCACAAUGGGCGAAAGCCUGAUGCAGCAACGUCGCGUGAGGGAUGAAGGCCUUCGGGUUGUAAACCUCUUUUAGCAGGGAAGAAGCGAAAGUGACGGUACCUGCAGAAAAAGCACCGGCUAACUACGUGCCAGCCGCCGCCGUAA